GAUGAACGCUGGCGGCGUGCCUAAUACAUGCAAGUCGAGCGAACGGACGAGAAGCUUGCUUCUCUGAUGUUAGCGGCGGACGGGUGAGUAACACGUGGAUAACCUACCUAUAAGACUGGGAUAACUUCGGGAAACAGUAGCUCAUACCGGAUAAUAUUUUGAACCGCAUGGUUCAAAAGUGAAAGACGGUCUUGCUGUCACUUAUAGAUGGAUCCGCGCUGCAUUAGCUAGUUGGUAAGGUAACGGCUUACCAAGGCAACGAUGCAUAGCCGACCUGGGAGGGUGAUCGGCCACUCUGGAACUGAGACACGGUCCAGACUCCUACGGGAGGCAGCAGUAGGGAAUCUUCCGCAAUGGGCGAAAGCCUGACGGAGCAACGCCGCGUGAGUGAUGAAGGUCUUCGGAUCGUAAAACUCUGUUAUUAGGGAAGAACAUAUGUGUAAGUAACUGUGCACAUCUUGACGGUACCUAAUCAGAAAGCCACGGCUAACUACGUG
rnacentral:rRNA from 1 species